UUCAAGAGAUGUGAAAUAUUACACCUAAACAAUAUUCCGUGUUAUCUGGCACAUGCAAGACAUUUAAUAAUCUCAGGGGAAAACCGUAUUAAUUAUAAUGUCGGCAUGCAAAUGCAAUGAGGAUUGAGGACAUGGCAAGGAAUUUAAAAGUGCCGAGGAAUAGGAACAAGGCAAUUUUCCUUGUUUCGGUAUGCGCUGUAUUUUUUCAAUACAUGAGAAAACACGACGCUUUUUCACAAAGAUAAAAUAUUUUUAAAGGAUGCGUAGCCGCGUAGGUUUGAAUUUGCGAUUGCGCUGAUCAUGUUAAUAAGGAAAGCUUAAAACACACCCCUCAUAUUAAGUUUUAGCUUAUGUGUUGAAAAAAGAAUACAGCGUAUAUAAACCUAUGCGUGAUAUUACGGUUAAUACGGUUUUCGCCUGAGAUUAUUAAAUGUCUUGCACGUGCCAGAUAACACGGAAUAUUGUUUAGGUGUAAUAUUUCACAUCUCUUGAAAGUUGAUUUCUCACCUCGGUAACGAAUGCUAGUGUUUUCAUGAGUUGCUCAUGGUGGAUAUGCAUCCUAAAGUUUCAAAUGCUGUAAAAUAUGAUAGUAUGAAUAUUUCUCUAGAAGGGUCAUCUUUUAGAAAUUCGAGGCAGGGCGAAAUUGGCAAGAAAUUUGCGAAGCAAUUUAGACGAUG